AAUGAAGUGGAGGUGGAUGUGCAUUUCUUGUGAGGGUCAAACCACUUUUUCAACAGAUGGUUCUUAUGUCGCACUCCUGGAUAUUCUGCAACACCAGCUCUUGGUUUCUGAAUGAAGCCUGCAAAAGAAAUUCUCAGCCUUGGAGAAAACCAGCUCACAACAGGGUGAACCAAAGAUGCACCACGAUUGAAGACAAAAAAUGUGAAUUCAACAAGAAUUUUCAUUUCAUCCUUCACACUAAACUGGCUAACCCUCACUUACAAGCCAGAACUGCGGGCUCAGACUACCUUAAUUAAUUUCACUGUCAGCAGGGACAGGCUGGAAGACCAGCGUUGGCUGAGGCUGUUAAUGCAAGACUCACAAAAAAAGUAAGGUAAGGACUGUAUUUUGAUUUGUCUGUUGCCUGCUCUGAAAUUUUAA
rnacentral:lncRNA from 1 species